rnacentral:rRNA from 1 species
UGGGGAAUAUUGGGCAAUGGGCGAAAGCCUGACCCAGCAACGCCGCGUGAGUGAUGAAGGCCUUCGGGUUGUAAAACUCUUUGGACAGGGACGAAGAAAGUGACGGUACCUGUAGAACAAGCCACGGCUAACUACGUGCCAGCAGCCGCGGUAAUACGUAGGUGGCGAGCGUUAUCCGGAUUUACUGGGCGUAAAGGGCGUGUAGGCGGCUAGAUAAGUGUGAUGUUUAAAUCCAAGGCUUAACCUUGGGGUUCAUUACAAACUGUUUAGCUUGAGUGCUGGAGAGGAUAGUGGAAUUCCUAGUGUAGCGAUGAAAUGCGUAGAGAUUAGGAGGAACACCGGUGGCGAAGGCGACUUACUGGGCUCAUUCUGACGCUGAGGAACGAAAGCGUGGGUAGCAAACAGG